rnacentral:lncRNA from 1 species
GGAAAUUAUAGAGGAAGCACUUCAAGAUACUGGUACAGGCAAUGGUUUUCUGUAUAGUAGCUCGAAAGCACAGGAAACAAAAUCAAAAGUUGACAAGUGGGAUCAAAAAAGCUGCUGUACUGCAAAAGGAACAAUUAACAAAAAAUACCUACCUGCCAGCUGCUGUUCAUCUAACAGAGGGUUCAUAUCUAGAAUUAAAUUUUUAAAAUUUACCUAAAAAACCAAGUGAUUUAAUUAAAAUAUGGGCAAAUGAUCUAAGUUAGUCACUUCUCAAAAGAAGAAAUACAAAUAGCCAACAAAUUUAUGAGAAGAUGCUCAGCAUCAUUAACUGUCAGGGAAACACAAGUCAAAACUACAAUAAGAUACCAUUUCAACCUGGUUAGAAUAAUUAUUACAAAAACUGAAAAUAACAAAUGUAGAGAAAAAAGAACUCUUAUACAUGGUUGAUGGGAAUGUAAGUUAGAAAAUCCAAUAUGAAAAAUGGUAUGGAAUUUCUUUAAACAAAAAUCCAGCUAUCCCACCUCUGAGUAUAUAGCUAAAGGAAAUGCAGUCACCAUAAAACAAAACACACAUGGCUGUAUACCCAUGUUCACUGCAGCACUAUUCACAAAAGCUAAGACAAUGAAUCACCCUAGUUGCUCAUCAACAGGAGAAUGGAGAAAGAAAUGUGCUGUAAAUACACAAUGCAGUUAUUAUCUGGUGAAAAAAGAAUAAAAGAAUAUUCUGCUACUUGGAACAAAACAGAUGAAAAUAAGAGGACAUUGGGUGAAAUAAACCUGACACAGGAAGACAAGUAUCUCAUGUUCUCUCAUGUAUGGAAACUAAAGAAAAAGUUAACCUCAAAGUAGAAUAGUGAUUACUGGAGUCUGGGAAAGAUGUGGAGGAGUGGGACUUGGAUGUGAUCAAUACACACUGUAUGCAAAUAACACACUGAAUCACAUCAAUAUGUACAAUUGAUUUGUAUUAAUAAAGCAUUUGCCUAGAUCAUGUCUUUUACUCUCUUUCUACUGGAAGAUGAAUUGUCUAAAAUUGUACACAAGCUAAGGUAUUGCUGACAGUACAUUUUGUCAAAACUACCAGGGACUAUAUUUUAAAAACAUCAAUAUAUGUGGAGAAGCUGCAG